UUUCUGUAGGUGAACCUGCGGAAGGAUCAUUAUUGUAUAACCGAGGUGCGAGGGCUGUCGCUGACCCGAAAGGUCGUGCACGCCCGAGUGCCCUCACACACAUCCAUCUCACCCCUAUGUGCACCACCGCGUGGGUCCCCCUUUGGCUUGUUCGGAGGGGGGCUUACGUUUUCACACAAACUUUGUAUGCAGUGUAGAAUGUAUUUUUUGUUUUUGCGAUCACGCAAUCAAUACAACUUUCAACAACGGAUCUCUUGGUUCUG
rnacentral:misc_RNA from 1 species